rnacentral:rRNA from 1 species
ACUCCUACGGGAGGCAGCAGUGGGGAAUAUUGCGCAAUGGACGAAAGUCUGACGCAGCGACGCCGCGUGGAGGAUGAAGGUUUUCGGAUCGUAAACUCCUGUCAAGAGGGAAGAAACCUAUUAUGAAUAAUACUCAUAGUAAUUGACGGUACCUCUAGAGGAAGCACCGGCUAAUUCAGUGCCAGCAGCCGCGGUAAUACUGAAGGUGCAAGCGUUAAUCGGAAUCACUGGGCGUAAAGCGCUCGUAGGUGGCUUUGUAAGUCAGGUGUGAAAGCCCACGGCUCAACCGUGGAAUUGCACUUGAUACUGCAUCGCUAGAGUAUAGGAGAGGGAAGUGGAAUUUCUGGUGUAGGAGUGAAAUCCGUAGAGAUCAGAAGGAACACCCGUGGCGAAGGCGACUUCCUGGACUAUUACUGACACUGAGGAGCGAAAGCGUGGGAGCAAACAGGAUUAGA